CGCUACUACCGAUUGAAUGGCUCAGUGAGGCUUCCGGACUGGCCUAGAGGAGUCGGCAACGACACCUCGGGGCCGGAAAGUUAUCCAAACUCGGUCAUUUAGAGGAAGUAAAAGUCGUAACAAGGUCUCCGUUGGUGAACCAGCGGAGGGAUCAUUACCGAGUUAUCACAACUCCAACCCUUUGUGAACCUUACCGUCGUUUCCUCGGCGCACUGCUGCGGGAGGCUACCCUGUAGCGGUUGCUUACCCUACAGGCCGCACCCUGCAGCGGCGCCGAAAGGACUACCAAAACUCUUUUAUCCAAGUUACCUCGAACAAUUUACUAUACAAUAGUUUAAAACUUUCAACAACGGAUCUCUUGGUUCUGGCAUCGAUGAAGAACGCAGCGAAAUGCGAUAAGUAAUGUGAAUUGCAGAAUUCAGUGAAUCAUCGAAUCUUUGAACGCACAUUGCGCCCAUUAGUAUUCUAGUGGGCAUGCCUAUUCGAGCGUCAUUUCAACCCUUAAGCCCUGUUGCUUAGCGUUGGGAAUCUGCUAGCUUCGGCGCAGUUCCUUAAAUUCAUUGGCGGAGCUGUGGCACACUCUAGGCGUAGUAGUUUAACACCUCGCCUCUAGAGUGGCCGCGGUUACUGGCCGUAAAACCCCCAUAUUUCUAGUGGUUGACCUCGGAUUAGGUAGGAAUACCCGCUGAACUUAAGC
rnacentral:rRNA from 1 species